rnacentral:rRNA from 1 species
AGAGUUUGAUCAUGGCUCAGGACGAUACGCUGGCGGCGUGCCUAAUACAUGCAAGUCGAGCGGACCGAACAGGAGCUUGCUCUUGUUUGGUUAGCGGCGGACGGGUGAGUAACACGUGGGUAACCUACCCGUAAGACCGGGAUAACUCCGGGAAACCGGAGCUAAUACCGGAUAACACCAGAAGACCGCAUGGUCUCUUGGUUGAAAGGCGGCUUCGGCUGUCACUUACGGAUGGGCCCGCGGCGCAUUAGCUAGUUGGUGAGGUAACGGCUCACCAAGGUGACGAUGCGUAGCCGGCCUGAGAGGGUGACCGGCCACACUGGGACUGAGACACGGCCCAGACUCCUACGGGAGGCAGCAGUAGGGAAUCUUCCGCAAUGGACGAAAGUACUGACGGAGCGACGCCGCGUGAGCGAAGAAGGUCUUCGGAUCGUAAAGCUCUGUUGUUAGGGAAGAACGAAGUACCGUUCG